GACGAGCCGUGCGAACGUUAUUCGGAAUCACUGGGCUUAAAGGGCGCGUAGGCGGGCCGAAAAGUCAGGGGUGAAAUCCUCCAGCCCAACUGGAGAAGCGCCUUUGGUACUGUCGGCCUCGAGGGGUGCAGGGGCAUGCGGAACUCAGGGUGGAGCGGUGAAAUGCGUAGAUAUCCUGAGGAACACCGGUGGCGAAAGCGGCGUGCUGGACACCUUCUGACGCUGAGGCGCGAAAGCCAGGGGAGCGAACGGG
rnacentral:rRNA from 1 species